GAUAGGGUCAGCUAAAUAAGCUUUCGGGCCCAUACCCCGAACAUGACGGUUAAACUCCCUCCUCCAUCA
rnacentral:tRNA from 1 species